rnacentral:rRNA from 1 species
ACGGGAGGCAGCAGUGAGGAAUAUUGGUCAAUGGGCGCUAGCCUGAACCAGCCAAGUAGCGUGAAGGAUGACUGCCCUAUGGGUUGUAAACUUCUUUUAUAUGGGAAUAAAGUGCAGUAUGUAUACUGCUUUGCAUGUACCUUAUGAAUAAGGAUCGGCUAACUCCGUGCCAGCAGCCGCGGUAAUACGGAGGAUCCGAGCGUUAUCCGGAUUUAUUGGGUUUAAAGGGAGCGUAGGCGGGUUGUUAAGUCAGUUGUGAAAGUUUGCGGCUCAACCGUAAAAUUGCAGUUGAUACUGGCAUCCUUGAGUACAGUAGAGGUAGGCGGAAUUCGUGGUGUAGCGGUGAAAUGCUUAGAUAUCACGAAGAACUCCGAUUGCGAAGGCAGCCUGCUGGACUGUAACUGACGCUGAUGCUCGAAAGUGUGGGUAUCAAACAGGAUUAGAUACCCUGGUAGUC